rnacentral:tRNA from 2 species
UGCGGGGUAGAGCAGUUUGGUAGCUCGCAAGGCUCAUAACCUUGAGGUCACGGGUUCAAAUCCUGUCCCCGCAC